rnacentral:misc_RNA from 1 species
UCCCUGUUACCAGGGCAGUCUGAUUAGAAAAAUUCAACUAAUCACAAGGGUUGCGCUCGUUGAUGGACUUAACCAAACAUCUCACGACACGAGCUGACGACGGCCAUGCAUCACCUGUCACUUGGUUCAAUAAAGCACUCUCUACUUUCGUAGAAAUUCCAAGGAUGUCAAACCUGGGUAAGGUUCUUCGCUUACCAUCGAAUUAAACAACACGCUCCACCGCUUGUGCGGGUCCCCGUCAAUUCCUUUAUGUUUUAGUCUUGCGACCGUACUCCACAGGCGGGAUGCUUAACGCGUUAGCUUCGCUACAUCCGGGGUCGAUACCGAAUACAGCUAGCAUCCAUCGUUUACGGCGUGGACUAC